CCCCACGCCCCCCCAAUGGCGUCGCCUCGCCGCCGCUGUCUCCCGUUCCCCCCCAUCCUCCUCCUCCUCCCCGUCCCCCUCUUCCUCCUCCUCCUCCACCGCUCCACCCACUCCACCACCCCGCUUCUCCCCACCGCCGGCUCCGACCUCGCCCCCGACCCCCGCCGCUUCUCCCUCCUCAUCAAACUGCUGGCCUACGACCGCCCGGACGCGCUCCGCCGCUGCCUCCGCUCCCUCGCCGCCGCCCACUACGACGGGGACCGCGUCGCGCUCCACGUCCUCCUCGACCACCGCCCGCCCAACUCGUCCUCGUCCUCGUCCGCCGCACCGCUCGACCUCUCCGCGUCGCACGAGAUCCUGGCCUUCGUCGACGCGUUCCAGUGGCCACACGGCGAGAAGCGCGUGCACUACCGCGCCGCCAACGCGGGGCUCCAGGCGCAGUGGAUCGAGGCUUGGUGGCCCGGCUCCGACGACGAGUUUGCGUUCGUCGUUGAGGACGACCUCCAGGUCUCGCCGCUCUACUACAGGUUCCUCAAGCGGGUGGUCAUGAGGUACUACUACGACCGCGAGAACUACAGCCCUUACGUGUUCGGGGCGUCGCUGCAGCGCCCUCGGUUCGUGGCAGGUAAACAUGGAAACAAGAUACAGCUGGACAGUGAAACUCAGCUUUUCUUGUACCAGAUGGUUGGCACAUGGGGCCAACUUCUCUUUCCAAAACCAUGGAAAGAAUUUCGAUUGUGGUACGAUGAACACAAGGCCAAAGGAAUCAAACCUAUUCUCCAAGGCAUGAAAACUACAGGAUGGUAUAAGAAGAUGGGCGAGAGAAUAUGGACCCCUUGGUUCAUUAAAUUUAUCCACUCACGUGGAUACUUCAAUAUCUACACAAACUUCCUGAAGGAAAGGGCCCUCAGCGUCUCUCAUAGGGAUGCAGGCGUGAAUUAUGGAAAAAGCGUUGGACCAGAUUCUACUUUGUUGGAUGGGAAGAAUCUUGAUUUCAAUAUAUGGGAAAUGCAGCCUCUAAAGAAGCUGAAGUGGUAUGAUUUCUGCUUUCAUGAGGUCCUUCCAGGAAGAGUUGUUAGAAAAUUAAGUGAACUUGGUUCUGUGCUCAAAUCCGUGCAACUAAAAGGUACUGUUGUACUCAUAAGUUUGUACUCAAUAGACCAGAGAUUUGCAAGAAACUUGAUUUGCCAUCUCGACAAGGCAGGCAUGCAGAACUACAUUUUCCUUGGUGACAAUUCUGAGUUUCUGGAUGACCUGGCUCAUAGAGGAUAUCCUGUCAUUGAUGCUAUUGAGUUUUUUCAUAGCAUUAAAAUGAGUAGUUUUAUAUGCUCUGAUGAUAUUAUUAAGGAAACAUUGGUUACAUCUUAUGUGAUAAAAAGUUGCUUGGACCUGGGGUACAAUCUAUGGGUACUAAACGGAAAUAUGAUUUCACUUGGCAGUAAGUUGAUCAAGCCAUCAGAUCAAUCAUUUGAGUACUUUACUGCAGAAUAUGUUGGAUUGAUGUUUAUAAGGAGCUCACUGAGCUCUAAAAAAGCAUGGAAUGAACUUAUUAUGUUGAGAGUGAAAGCGAUGUGUACAUCUGGUGAUUUUUCUGCUUCCUUCAAACAGAAGAAUUCUGUUCGUAUACUAACUGAACUGUUGGGAAACAGUGCUGGUGUGAGGCUGGGAAAAUUGAAUGAGGGGAUGAGAGUUAUCGAAUUAGGGCCUAACACCUCAAACAGAUCAACAUCAGAAGGUCAAAGUAAUGUGAUUUUCUGGUCCCGCAGUAUGUCUUCAGAUUCAGUUCAAAGGCAACUCGAAAAUAUGGAUUUAUGGUUAAUUGACUCAGAUUCAUCUUGUAGUGCAGUUGUUUGUCACCAAAAGCAGAAGUAGCUUUUGUUGUUUUGACACAUUACUUUUGUUCCUCUGAGAAAUUCAUCGGUAUCAUCAAAGGGGUCCAAGGUAAUUUCAAAUGUUUUAUGAUGGAGGCUAACCAGAUGAUAUUUAUGUUUAGAAGUUUGGAUGCAUCAGGGGAUCAGCCAUUGUGUGGUCAGUUUUGAUUAUGUGACCUUGAAGCUGUGCAAUCAAAUGCGUCUGAUGUUGAUUACAGUUAGUCUUUGGCCACAGAGAACAAUUUUGGAGUUUUUCUGCCAUGAAUUAUAUGCUGCCCAUGGCUAUAAUUUUUGAGGUGUUGAAUGCUUGAUCUUUUCUUGGUUCGGUGAGGGAAAAGUAUUUAGGUAGCUAAGCUGCUAGUUCAAUUCACGGGAACAGUUUUGGAUAUGAUUUCCCUGCUAUGUACAACGUUGAUAGCAAUGCCCCAUCCACAAUCCUUGCAGACAUUAAAUCACGGGAUGCUGAAACUGAGCAAUGAUAUUGCAACUGGAUCACAGCAAUUCUCUCCUACCGGACAGAUGUAGAAAGUGUGUAUCUGAAGAUAGAAAAUCUGGCAGAUGCGGUUGGUGCAUGCACAUUUUCACUGGCAGAAGCAGCACCUGCUAGAUAAAGAAUGAAAAAUCCAACUGGAAAGUGAUUCGACAUAUUGACAUUUUGAUCGAGAUCUGAUACAAUGAUGCUCCAAAUGUAUAGCGAAGAGAUUUCUCAACCACAGUUGACGCUCGACGCUUCUUGGUAGCACGAUUUCCUUCCACUUGAACAAGGUAGGAUCAUCUGUCGCUGGAUCCAACUUGGAACAGAAGCAAGCAUGUAGUUGUGAUAAAACGGACCCCGGAAAAUGACAUGCAAAUUGUUUAAGAUGCGUCCUUGCACCUUGCAUAUGACACAUAAAAAUAUGUAUCGUUUCAGGUUGAGAUGGGUGCAUUAUGAGUGUGACGUCUGCUCUGCAAGCUAACAUAAUUCUGUGAAGGGAUAGAGCUGCAGUCGACAGUUCGAUCAUGUUAAAAACCGAUCCUUUGUCUGUUGGUUUGCUUGUUGCAUAAGCUCAUGUUAGGUAGCAUCUCAAGUUUGAACACACACAACUCCAAGCAGCUACUAGGGACAUGUGCUUCACUUCAUUCAAUCGUUGUUGCAGUAUCUAUGAUACUUUGCCUGUUGUUGAUGCGUUUAGCAGAUUAACAGGUGCAUUAGAA